CCUACGGGAGGCAGCAGUGGGGAAUCUUGCGCAAUGGGCGAAAGCCUGACGCAGCCAUGCCGCGUGGAUGAUGAAGGUCUUAGGAUUGUAAAAUCCUUUCAGCGGGGACGCGGUACCCGCAGAAGAAGCCCCGGCUAACUUCGUGCCAGCAGCCGCGGUAAUACGAAGGGGGCUAGCGUUGCUCGGAUUUACUGGGCGUAAAGGGCGCGUAGGCGGACAGUUAAGUUGGGGGUGAAAGCCCGGGGCUCAACCUCGGAAUUGCCUUCAAUACUGGCUGUCUUGAGUGUGAGAGAGGUGUGUGGAACUCCGAGUGUAGAGGUGAAAUUCGUAGAUAUUCGGAAGAACACCAGUGGCGAAGGCGACACACUGCCACUACUGACGCUGAGGCGCGAAAGCGUGGGGAGCAAACAGGAUUAGAUACCCUUGUAGUC
rnacentral:rRNA from 1 species